rnacentral:rRNA from 1 species
UACGAAGGGGGCUAGCGUUGCUCGGAAUCACUGGGCGUAAGGGUGCGUAGGCGGGUCUUUAAGUCAGGGGUGAAAUCCUGGAGCUCAACUCCAGAACUGCCUUUGAUACUGGGGAUCUCGAGUCCGGAAGAGGUGAGUGGAACUCCGAGUGUAGAGGUGAAAUUCGUAGAUAUUCGGAAGAACACCAGUGGCGAAGGCGGCUCACUGGUCCGGUACUGACGCUGAGGUGCGAAAGCGUGGGAGCAAACAGG